rnacentral:rRNA from 1 species
GACGAACGCUGGCGGCGUGCCUAAUACAUGCAAGUUGAGCGAUGAAGCUUGGUGCUUGCUCCAAUUUGAAGAGCAGCGAACGGGUGAGUAACGCGUGGGGAAUCUGCCUUUGAGCGGGGGACAACAUUUGGAAACGAAUGCUAAUACCGCAUAACAACUUUAAACAUAAGUUUUAAGUUUGAAAGAUGCAAUUGCAUCACUCAAAGAUGAUCCCGCGUUGUAUUAGCUAGUUGGUGAGGUAAAGGCCCACCAAGGCGAUGAUACAUAGCCGACCUGAGAGGGGGGUCGGCCACAUCGGGACUGAGACACCGCCCAAACUCCCACGGGGGGCAGCAGUAGGGAAUCUUCGGCAAUGGACGAAAGUCUGACCGAGCAACGCCGCGUGGGGGAAGAAGGUUUUCGGAUCGUAAAACUCUGUUGGUAGAGAAGAACGUUGGUGAGAGUGGAAAGCUCAUCAAGUGACGGUAACUACCCAGAAAGGGACGGCUAACUACGUG